AGUCCCUUGGAACAGGGCGUCGUAGAGGGUGAGAAUCCCGUCUUUGACACGGACCCCCGGUGCUAUGCGAUGCGCUCUCGAAGAGUCGAGUUGUUUGGGAAUGCAGCUCAAAAUGGGUGGUAAAUUCCAUCUAAAGCUAAAUAUUGGCGAGAGACCGAUAGCGAACAAGUACCGUGAGGGAAAGAUGAAAAGCACUUUGGAAAGAGAGUAAAACAGUACGUGAAAUUGUUGAAAGGGAAACGCUUGAAGUCAGUCGCGUCUGCCGGAACUCAGCCUUGCUUCUGCUUGGUGCACUUUCCGGUCUGACGGGCCAGCAUCGGUUUCGAGCGGCGGACACUGGCGAGGGGAAGGUGGCAGCUCCGGCUGUGUUAUAGCCCCUUGUCGCAAACGUCGCCCGGGACCGAGGAAUCCGGCGCAAGCCUGGGAUGCUGGCGUAAUGGCUUUAAACGACCCGUCUUGAAACACGGACCAAGGAGUGCUACGUGCUCGCGAGUGUUUGGGUGGAAAACCCGGACGCGCAAUGAAAGUGAAAGUCGAUACCCCUCACGGGGGCACCGACGCCCGAGCCUGAUGUUUUCGGAAGGCCUUGCGGUAGAGCGAGUGCGUUGCGACCCGAAAGAUGGUGAACUAUUCCUGAGGAGGGCGAAGCCAGAGGAAACUCUGGUGGAGGCUCGUAGCGGUUCUGACGUGCAAAUCGAUCGCAGGACU
rnacentral:rRNA from 1 species